GCCUUAUUAGCUCAGGGGCAGAGCGUCUGUCUUGUAAACAGAAGGCCGCUGGUUCGAUUCCAGCAUGAGGCA
rfam:Parastrongyloides trichosuri strain KNP genome assembly, scaffold: PTRK_scaffold0000001